rnacentral:lncRNA from 10 species
GUGACUGGAGGCUAGGAGAUGGAAUGAAUGGAAGAUUUACUAAAUAGUAAAAUUAGCUAACAUUAAGAUGCUAUAGCUGUAUAAAAAAUGAAUUUGUCAGCAUUUAAAAUAGUUUAUAAUAAAAAACAGGAGGACAUGUUUCAAACAUAUUGGUUUAUAUUGUUCAUCCUUUCCACGUCAUUAUUCCUAAUGGCAAAAGGUUGUGAGCUCUUAUCCUUGGGUCUUUGCUCAAAUUUGAAAUGCCAUAUCCUUUUAAGAUUAGGAUAACAAGGUGAACCUCAGAAAUUAAUAGGCACAACCCCAAGGCACAAGAUAUGCAGCCUCCUCAUUGCUUGUCUCUUGCCCACUCACACACAUAGAGUAGCAUGUUAUGGCACUUACACUAAUAAAGCCACUGCUAUCAAAGUUCUGGACUUGAUUUCCAGCAGUAUUAGCUCUGUUUUACCCUCAAGCUUCUGGGUUAGUGGGUUAUUGCUCACCAAAGAAGUUCUGGUUGGAAGAAGAGGUAAGAUAUCUCCAGAGCCGCUGAGAAGAAUGAGUAAGCACUUCCCUGUUCUGAAAGGAAUAGCAUCAACAUCAACAAAAAGGACAUCCACACCAAAACCCCAUCUGUAGGUCACCAUCAUCAAAGACCAAAGGUAGAUAAAACCACAAAGAUGGGGAGAAACCAGAACAGAAAAGCUGAAAAUUCUAAAAACCAGAGGACCACUUCUCCUUCAAAGGAUCUCAGCUCCUCACCAGCAAUGGAACAAAGCUGGACAGAGAAUGACUUUGACGAACCGACAGAAGUAGGUUUCAGAAGAUCGGUAAUAACAAACUUCUCCAAGCUAAAGGAGGAUGUUCAAACCCAUCUCAAGGAAGUUAAAACCUUGAAAAAAGAUUAGACGAAUGUCUAACUAGAAUAAACAGUGCAGAGAAUAAUUUAAAUGACCUGAUGAAGCUGAAAACCAUGGCACAAGAACUACCUGAUGCAUACACAAGCUUCAGGUAGUGUAUGUAAUUCGAUCAAGUGGAAGAAAGGAUAUCAGUGAUUGAAGAUCAAAUGAAUGAAAUGAAGCAGGAAGAGAAGUUUAGAGAAAAAAGAGUAAAAAGAAACGAACAAAGCCUCCAAGAAAUGUGGGACUUUGUGAAAAGACCAAACCUAUGAUUGAUUGGUGUACCUGAAAGUGAUGGGGAAAAUGGAACCAAGUUGGAAAACACUCUUCAGGGUAUUAUCCCAGGAGAACUUCCCUAACCUAGCAAGGCAGGCUAACAUUCAAAUUGAGGAAAUAUAGAGAACGCCACAGAGAUACUCCUCAAGAAGAGCAACCCCAAGACAUAUAGUUGUCAGAUUCACCAAGGUUGAAAUGAAGGAAAAAAUGUUAAGGGCAGCCAGAGAGAAAGGUCGGGUUACUCACAAAGGGAAGCCCAUCAGACUAACAGUGGAUCUUUCAGCACAAACUCUACAAGCCAGAAGAGAGUGGGAGCCAAUAUUCAACAUUCUUAAAGAAAAGAAUUUUCAACCCAGAAUUUCAUAUUCAGCCAAAAUAAGCUUCAUAAGUGAAGGAGGAAUAAAAUCCUUUACAGAC